rnacentral:tRNA from 1 species
AGGCUAAUAGCUUAAUGGUGGAGCACAUCAUUGAUAAUGAUGGGGUUGAUAGUUCGAAUCUAUUUUAGCCUA